UCGUUUUUGUGGGGCUAUAAAAGGCCAAAGAUUUUGAAAAAAAAUAAUCAUCUCUCUUCUGUGAAACAAAAAAAACUCAGCCCUCUCUUCCCCUCUCUGGGUAAACCCAGUAGCUGGCCAAAUGGGAUCGUCGGACUGUCGCAAGGUCGCCGUCGGACGCCGGUGGCAGGAACUCCAAAAAGGUGAAAGUGGAGGGCGGAGGAUGUGACAUGGAGGUGGCAGCAGAGGCGGUGGCUAGGCUUUGACAGUGGCUAGGGUUUAUUUCUUUUUUUUUUUUUUUGUAUGUUAAGGUCUUGGGUCGGUUUAGUGGGCUUAGGGUUGUUGGGUUUGUGUUUUGGGCUAGGUUUAUUUAGAGUUUAGUUUGGGGUUAUUUGGGUUUAGGGUUUUGUUUUAGCCCAGGCAUAAUUUGGGGUUUACACAUGCAAUAGAUUCAAAAAUAAAAAUAAAAAGAGCAAUAAAGGCAGGAAGUGAAAAAAAAUGCAAAAAUCCUUUGAAAAGCUUUGUAUCUCUUUUUUUUUUUUUUAGUAUUGAUUGUGUGUUCCCCCCUCCCCUUUUACAUUAGUUUUUGGUGGCUUUAUAUAACCGAGGCAUUACAUGUGAUUUUCGUCCUUGCUACUGUUCAAUCCCUGCUUUGUAUUGUUUCUGCCUCUGUUCUGUAUGGUUUUGCUUCUGUUUUGCCUCUGUCUCUUUGCUAUUUUGGUCUUCUUUGCAGGUUCGUGAGGCGCAGGCGAUGGGACGGGGCGGGUUAGGCGCCCGAGGAUGAGCGGCGCACAUGGGAUCCUCUAGGGUUUCGUUUCUAAGUUGGCUUUAGGUUUUGGGCUUUUAGAAUUUGGGUUUGUAUUGGGUUUGUUUAUUAUUAUUUGGGCUUGUUGGGCCCGGGCAAAUUUGGGCCCGUACAACUAAUUUUAUAUUUUUUUAUAUUUUUAUAAUUUUCUUACUAACUUUAUAAAA